rnacentral:rRNA from 1 species
GUUGAACGCUGGCGGCAGGCUUAACACAUGCAAGUCGAGCGGAGAUGAGGUGCUUGCACCUUAUCUAGCGGCGGACGGGUGAGUAAUGCUUAGGAAUCUGCCUAUUAGUGGGGGACAACAUUCCGAAAGGAAUGCUAAUACCGCAUACGUCCUACGGGAGAAAGCAGGGGAUCUUCGGACCUUGCGCUAAUAGAUGAGCCUAAGUCGGAUUAGCUAGUUGGUGGGGUAAAGGCCUACCAAGGCGACGAUCUGUAGCGGGUCUGAGAGGAUGAUCCGCCAGACUGGGACUGAGACACGGCCCAGACUCCUACGGGAGGCAGCAGUGGGGAAUAUUGGACAAUGGGGGAAACCCUGAUCCAGCCGUGCCGCGUGUGUGAAGAAGGCCUUAUGGUUGUAAAGCACUUUAAGCGAGGAGGAGGCUACUGAGACUAAUACUCUUGGAUAGUGGACGUUACUCGCAGAAUAAGCACCGGCUAACUCUGUGCCAGCCGCCGCCGUAA